GUAGGUGGCAAGCGUUGUCCGGAAUUAUUGGGCGUAAAGCGCGCGCAGGCGGUUCUUUAAGUCUGAUGUGAAAGCCCACGGCUCAACCGUGGAGGGUCAUUGGAAACUGGAGAACUUGAGUACAGAAGAGGAAAGCGGAAUUCCACGUGUAGCGGUGAGAUGCGUAGAGAUGUGGAGGAACACCAGUGGCGACGGCGGCUUUCUGGUCUGUAACUGACGCUGAGGCGCGAAAGCGUGGGGGGAGCAAACAGGAUUAGAUACCCUGGUAGUCCACGCCGUAAACGAUGAGUGCUAAGUGUUAGGGGGUUUCCGCCCCGUUAGUGCUGCAGCUAACGCAUUAAGCACUCCGCCUGGGAGUACGGCCGCAAGGCUG
rnacentral:rRNA from 1 species